GCAAAAGUUCUCUAAAAAGAACGUCAGACUUGUUCACUCUUCCUUGCUCAGAUGCAGAACAUUUUGGAGGAGAAUGGAAGGAAGUUUCUGAAUACUGUCAUUAAAUCAGCUUAAUUUGUGUGGGGCAGAAGAUACUGGAAGAAGAGGGACUGGGGAGGAUGCUGAGGAGCUGCCUGCGACCCUGCCCAAGACCUCCAUGAAGACGUCUGACAGAUGUACCAGAGAGGACACCAAGGAACCCCCCGUGGCCCUGACAGAGACCUUGAUGUGGACUCCUAAUGUCAAGAGUUCAAGUUGGACAGUUUUUGUUUGGAUCAGUUAAAGCUGCCCCAAGCCGUAGUGGAGGGGUGGGAUAAAAUGUUUUUAAAUAAAUAAAUGAACAUGGAAUUUUCUUAAGACAAAAGGGCAGCGGGGGAGUUAUAAAACAUGUGUGAGAACUGUGAGUUUAAAUGUUUCUGUUAAUAUGUGUGUGUGUGUGUGUCUAUCUAUCUAUCUAUCUAUCUAUCUAUCUAUCUAUCUAUACACACACACACACACACACACACACACACACACACACACACACAGAGCUUUAAUGCUUUUGCAAAUUCCAUUGCUGUUUGGGUCUUUCAUAACCCACACUUACAAUGAAUAUUAACUCCACACUUUCCUCUCCAGAGUUUUCCAUCUUUUGCACCAUUGAGUGAAUCACAAUUGUGACCCACAUCAAUAUUUUUUGUUUGUGACCAACAUCAACAUCUUUUUGUGUGUGACAAACAUCAAUGUCUUUCAUUUCGUACAAAGCAGUGCUUUAUUUUCUACAGAGACAUGUUCUUAGAAACCAUAAAAUUCUCACUUUGAGUGCACACUCAAACAUGGGGGUCAUUCACAUGGCCGGGCGGGCGGAGGAGUAGGCAGGCAGGAGGAAGGCUGCAUGAAUCUUACCUUACUCCCCAGAUAAACCAGAGGAUGUUGCUGGGAGUGUGAACCAUGCUCCCAGAUGAUCUGUUGCUGCAUGGAGCAUUGGAGGUCAGGACGUGUUGUCUUGGCCUCUGGGUGUCCCGCAGUGCACCGCGUGUCAAGCACAGUGCACUGGGAGAUUCCCUGAGAAGAUGGGCA